rnacentral:lncRNA from 1 species
UGGAAGUCCUUCAGUCCUGAAAAUGCACAUGGAAAAUCUUGCCACUCAUAUGCUACCUAAUAAAAGAGCUGAAAUUGUUAGGCUUGGACGCCAGCCCUCUGAUUGCACUAUGAGAGGGGGUGGUGAUUCUCCCAACCUGGAAACUGAUCUGACAGGAUAGGACCAGAGACCAGGUGAUACCACCCCACAUUGCUGUGGCACCCAGGAUGACACAACAAGAAGGCCCUGGCCAAUUGCAGUCUUCUCUAUCUUGGACAUUCCAGCCUCCACAACUAUAAGAAGGAA